GAUGAACGCUGGCGGCGUGCUUAACACAUGCAAGUCGAACGGAAAGGCCCAAGCUUGCUUGGGGACUCGAGUGGCGAACGGGUGAGUAACACGUGGGUGAUCUGCCCUGCACUUCGGGAUAAGCCUGGGAAACUGGGUCUAAUACCGGAUAGGACCACUUCUUGGAUGUUGUGGUGGAAAGUUUUUUCGGUGUGGGAUGAGCUCGCGGGGUAUCCGCUUGUUAGUGGGGUAAUGGCAUACCAAGGCGUCGGCGGGUAGCCGGUCUGAGAGGGUGAACCGCGGCACUGGGACUGAGAGACGGCCCAGGCGCCGACUGGAGGAAGAAGGGGGGAAUACUGAUCAAGGGGCGCAGGCCUGGUGCAGCAAGGCUGCGGGUGGGAUGACGGCCUUCGGGUGGAAAACUACUAUCGCGAGGGACGAAGCGUUUGGUGACGGUACCUGGAGAAGAAGCACCGGCUAACUACGUG
rnacentral:rRNA from 1 species